rnacentral:lncRNA from 1 species
UAAUGUAUUUUGAUCCUUACUCUUUCCCCUCUGACUCUACUUCACCAUUUGCCCUCCCAAUUUCACACACUCUUUUGCUUAAAAACAAACAAAUAACAACAACAAAAACCUACUGAGAUAAUUUAGUGCAUGGAUAUGAGGCUAUCUGCUGGAGCAUGUGUAGCCUUUGAAAGCCUGUAUCCCUGAAGAAAACAGACUCCCAGUUAUCCAUUCAUCUAGGUUGUCUCCGUUUACUGGCUAUUGUGAGUAGAACAGCUAUGAUCAUGGGUGAGCAAGUAUCUUUGAAGUAGGAUGUAGAGUCCUCAGGGAAUGUAGCCAGGAGUAUUCAGCUCACAUGAUGGAUCCAUGUCUAGCUUUUUGAGGAAUCUACCCACCAAUUUCUAUAGUGGCAAAACCACUUUACAUUCCAGUGGUGAAUAAAUAUUCCCAUUCCCCCCACAUCCACACCAGUAUUUGCCAAUCAGGUGUUCUGGUCUUUUCCUUACUAAGAAGCCUGCCAAAAUGGCAACUACCUGCUAUUGAUAUGAUCUUUCUCCAUUCCAAGGCUUUCUUUGUUACCGGUAAGGGCUGUGAUUCUCUUUCCCCAGCAUACUCCAAUACCCACACCUCAAGGUAGGGCACUCAGUGGAAUUGUCUGUUUUGACCAGAAGGAUCAUGAUUUAUAUAAGACUUGACAAAGCUGAGGUGAUACUCAGGUUAGGGCUUCCAUCACCAUGUCUGAGAUACAUAUUCCAGUGAGUGGUGGCUCAGAGGGUAAGUCAGAGGACUGAAUACUUAGCUUCACCCUGUGGAGAGCUGCGAGUUUGAAGAUCAGCUGCCUCUGGGACUCUCUCUUUGCAGGCCUCCAGGACCAUGUGGUACACUAGCACCCGGGGAAUGGCCCCACGGGUCAACUUUGAGGGGGCUCUCUUCUCUGGUUAUGCACCAGAUGGGGGCCUCUAUAUGCCAGAGGAGCUCCCAAGGCUGGACAAAGAGACCCUGCGUCACUGGAGCACGCUGUCCUAUCGCAGCCUGGUGAAGGAGUUGUGUGCCCUCUUCGUUGGCCUGGAGCUUAUUCCAAGACA